rnacentral:rRNA from 1 species
AGGACGAACGCUGGCGGCGUGCCUAAUACAUGCAAGUCGAACGCUUUUUCUUUCACCGGAGCUUGCUCCACCGAAAGAAAAAGAGUGGCGAACGGGUGAGUAACACGUGGGUAACCUGCCCAUCAGAAGGGGAUAACACUUGGAAACAGGUGCUAAUACCGUAUAACACUAUUUUCCGCAUGGAAGAAAGUUGAAAGGCGCUUUUGCGUCACUGAUGGAUGGACCCGCGGUGCAUUAGCUAGUUGGUGAGGUAACGGCUCACCAAGGCCACGAUGCAUAGCCGACCUGAGAGGGUGAUCGGCCACACUGGGACUGAGACACGGCCCAGACUCCUACGGGAGGCAGCAGUAGGGAAUCUUCGGCAAUGGACGAAAGUCUGACCGAGCAACGCCGCGUGAGUGAAGAAGGUUUUCGGAUCGUAAAACUCUGUUGUUAGAGAAGAACAAGGAUGAGAGUAGAACGUUCAUCCCUUGACGGUAUCUAACCAGAAAGCCACGGCUAACUACGUGCCAGCAGCCGCGGUAAUACGUAGGUGGCAAGCGUUGUCCGGAUUUAUUGGGCGUAAAGCGAGCGCAGGCGGUUUCUUAAGUCUGAUGUGAAAGCCCCCGGCUCAACCGGGGAGGGUCAUUGGAAACUGGGAGACUUGAGUGCAGAAGAGGAGAGUGGAAUUCCAUGUGUAGCGGUGAAAUGCGUAGAUAUAUGGAGGAACACCAGUGGCGAAGGCGGCUCUCUG